rnacentral:lncRNA from 1 species
UGGAAGAGUCAAGAAGAUGGUUUCAAAAGGAAACCCAUACUACAUUCAGGAGGAGCAGAAAUGUAAGUUCUUUGGCAAAUAUAAAUUACUUAAACUUCUAUAUGUCAGUUAUUAAACACUAAUUUCUUUUACUGUCAUUUAAGGUCUUUUAUAGGGAAUUAUUAGAAAUUGUGUUCCCAAAUCCUUAAGUGUACAGAAACUGCAGUUUUUUAAAUGGAAGUAUUCUAGUUAAUGAAGUGCUGAUCAAGAUUCAUGUUAAGAAUAAGAGUUAACAAAAAUGGUUCUUCCUUGACAGGCGAUUACCUAGGCUU